rnacentral:misc_RNA from 1 species
UCUCCGUUGGUGAACCAGCGGAGGGAUCAUUACCGAGUGUACAACUCCCAAACCACUAUGUGAACGUUACCGAACUGUUGCUUCGGCGGAAAAUUCAUGCCCCGCGCGCGUCGCAGCCCCGGAUCAAGGCGCCCGCCGGAGGACCAACCAUAACUCAAUUGUAUGUCCCUCGCGGACUUUUAUAAUUCUCACUCAUCACUGCGACCCUAGCGGUCGUUUGGAAUAUGGAUCAGAACUUUCAACAACGGAUCUCUUGGUUCUG